rnacentral:rRNA from 1 species
AUCGAUUUCUUCGGAUUGAAAUUUUAGUGACUGAGUGGCGGACGGGUGAGUAACGCGUGAGGAACCUACCUCAAAGAGGGGGACAACAGUUGGAAACGACUGCUAAUACCGCAUAAGCCCACGGAUUCGCAUGGAUCUGCGGGAAAAGGAUUUAUUCGCUUCAGGAUGGACUCGCGUCCAAUUAGCUAGUUGGUGAGGUAACGGCCCACCAAGGCGACGAUCAGUAGCCGGCCUGAGAGGGUGAACGGCCACAUUGGGACUGAGACACGGCCCAAACUCC